rnacentral:lncRNA from 1 species
GCAGCUUUGUGGGAAAUGUAGUCCGGCUUCCCGGGGUGGAGAUGCUGGGAGGGGCGGCAUUGGUCCGCUGGUUGCUCUGGCUCCUGGUGGGAGAGGCUCUGCCUCCUGUGAUCCUGCCCAUCCCCUGGGAAGGACACCACAGGAAGGAAGGAGAAGGCAAUGGCUGCUGGGCCUCUACUAUUGGGAGUUGAGGGCAUCAGCUUUCCAAACCAAAUGUGAUAUCUCAGCUGGAUUGAGAACUGAGCCUGAUGACAAAAGAACAUCCAGGGUGCAUUUCCCCAGGUAAGGAUCUGGCUGCAAGAACUUGUUCCAUGA